GUGACAGCUUCAGCAGCACAUACACUAAAAUGGGAACAUUACAGAGAUUAACAUGGCCCCCCAUACAAGGAUGACUUAUACAUUUGUGAAGCAUUUCAAAAGAAUUUUUU
rfam:Mesocricetus auratus contig168329, whole genome shotgun sequence.